rnacentral:rRNA from 1 species
AGGACUAACGCUGGCGGCGUGCCUAACACAUGCAAGUCGAACGAGAGUAGCAAUACUCUAGUGGCAGACGGGUGAGUAACACGUGGUCAACCUACCUCUAUGUGGGGGAUAACUAGCCGAAAGGUUAGCUAAUACCGCAUACGAUCGUCGAGCGGCAUCGCUUGACGAUGAAAGGAGCAAUCCGCAGAGAGACGGGACCGCGUCCCAUUAGCUAGUUGGUGGGGUAAUGGCCUACCAAGGCGACGAUGGGUAGCUGGCUUGAGAGAGCGACCAGCCACACUGGGACUGAGACACGGCCCAGACUCCUACGGGAGGCAGCAGUGAGGAAUUUUCCGCAAUGGGCGAAAGCCUGACGGAGCGACGCCGCGUGUGGGAAGAAGGCCUUCGGGUCGUAAACCACUGUCGAAGGGGAGAUAUUGACGGUACCCUUGGAGGAAGCCCCGGCUAACUACGCGCCAGCAGCCGC